rnacentral:rRNA from 1 species
UACAGAGGUCUCAAGCGUUGUUCGGAUUCAUUGGGCGUAAAGGGUGCGUAGGCGGCGCGGUAAGUCGGGUGUGAAAUCUCGGGGCUCAACCCCGAAACUGCAUUCAAUACUGCGAUGCUCGAGUACUGGAGAGGAGACUGGAAUUCAUGGUGUAGCAGUGAAAUGCGUAGAUAUCAUGAGGAAGGCCAGUGGCGAAGGCGGGUCUCUGGACAGUUACUGACGCUGAGGCACGAAGGCCAGGGGAGCAAACGGG